GAUGAACGCUAGCUACAGGCCUAACACAUGCAAGUCGCGGGGCAGCAUGUCGGUUGCUUGCAACCGAUGAUGGCGACCGGCGCACGGGUGAGUAACGCGUAUCCAACCUGCCCUUCACCACGGAAUAAUCCAGUGAAAAUUGGUCUAAUACCGUAUGAGGUCAUACGAUGGCAUCAGAAUAUGACGAAAGGUUUGGCGGUGAAGGAUGGGGAUGCGUCUGAUUAGCUUGUUGGUGAGGUAACGGCUCACCAAGGCGACGAUCAGUAGGGGUUCUGAGAGGAAGGUCCCCCACAUUGGAACUGAGACACGGUCCAAACUCCUACGGGAGGCAGCAGUGAGGAAUAUUGGUCAAUGGGCGAGAGCCUGAACCAGCCAAGUAGCGUGCAGGAAGACGGCCCUAUGGGUUGUAAACUGCUUUUAUAUGGGGAUAAAGUGAGCUACGUGUAGUUUAUUGCAGGUACCAUAUGAAUAAGGACCGGCUAAUUCCGUGCCAGCAGCCGCCGUAA
rnacentral:rRNA from 1 species